rnacentral:rRNA from 1 species
GACGAGCCACACGAACGUUAUUCGGAAUUACUGGGCUUAAAGGGUGCGUAGGCGGUGCGGAAAGUUGGGUGUGAAAUCCCUCGGCUCAACCGAGGAACUGCGCUCAAAACUACCGUACUUGAGGAAGAUAGAGGUGAGCGGAACUUACAGUGGAGCGGUGAAAUGCGUUGAUAUUGUAAGGAACACCCGUGGCGAAAGCGGCUCACUGGGUCUUUUCUGACGCUGAUGCACGAAAGCUAGGGGAGCAAACGGG